rnacentral:misc_RNA from 1 species
GAUGAAGAAUGCAGCGAAAUGCGAUAAGUAGUGUGAAUUGCAGAAUUCAGUGAAUCAUCGAAUCUUUGAACGCACAUUGCGCCCUUUGGUAUUCCAAAGGGCAUGCCUGUUCGAGCGUCAUUUGUACCCUCAAGCUUUGCUUGGUGUUGGGCGUCUUGUCUCUAGCUUUGCUGGAGACUCGCCUUAAAGUAAUUGGCAGCCGGCCUACUGGUUUCGGAGCGCAGCACAAGUCGCACUCUCUAUCAGCAAAGGUCUAGCAUCCAUUAAGCCUUUUUUUCAACUUUUGACCUCGGAUCAGGUAGGGAUACCCGCUGAACUUAAGCAUAUCAAUAAGCGGAGGA